AGAGUUUGAUCCUGGCUCAGGAUGAACGCUGGCGGCGUGCCUAACACAUGCAAGUCGAGCGAAGCACUUUGCUUAGAUUCUUCGGAUGAAGAGGAUUGUGACUGAGCGGCGGACGGGUGAGUAACGCGUGGGUAACCUGCCUCAUACAGGGGGAUAACAGUUAGAAAUGACUGCUAAUACCGCAUAAGCGCACAGCAUCGCAUGAUGCAGUGUGAAAAACUCCGGUGGUAUGAGAUGGACCCGCGUCUGAUUAGCUAGUUGGUGAGGUAACGGCUCACCAAGGCGACGAUCAGUAGCCGACCUGAGAGGGUGAUCGGCCACAUUGGGACUGAGACACGGCCCAAACUCCUACGGGAGGCAGCAGUGGGGAAUAUUGCACAAUGGGGGAAACCCUGAUGCAGCGACGCCGCGUGAGUGAAGAAGUAUUUCGGUAUGUAAAGCUCUAUCAGCAGGGAAGAAAAUGACGGUACCUGACUAAGAAGCCCCGGCUAACUACGUGCCAGCAGCCGCGGUAAUACGUAGGGGGCAAGCGUUAUCCGGAUUUACUGGGUGUAAAGGGAGCGUAGACGGCGGAGCAAGUCUGAAGUGAAAGCCCGGGGCUCAACCCCGGGACUGCUUUGGAAACUGUUCUGCUAGAGUGCUGGAGAGGUAAGUGGAAUUCCUAGUGUAGCGGUGAAAUGCGUAGAUAUUAGGAGGAACACCAGUGGCGAAGGCGGCUUACUGGACGGUAACUGACGUUGAGGCUCGAAAGCGUGGGGAGCAAACAGGAUUAGAUACCCUGGUAGUCCACGCCGU
rnacentral:rRNA from 1 species